rnacentral:rRNA from 1 species
CCAGACUCCUACGGGAGGCAGCAGUGGGGAAUAUUGCACAAUGGGCGCAAGCCUGAUGCAGCGACGCCGCGUGAGGGAUGGAGGCCUUCGGGUUGUAAACCUCUUUUAUCGGGGAGCAAGCGAGAGUGAGUUUACCCGUUGAAUAAGCACCGGCUAACUACGUGCCAGCAGCCGCGGUAAUACGUAGGGUGCAAGCGUUAUCCGGAAUUAUUGGGCGUAAAGGGCUCGUAGGCGGUUCGUCGCGUCCGGUGUGAAAGUCCAUCGCUUAACGGUGGAUCCGCGCCGGGUACGGGCGGGCUUGAGUGCGGUAGGGGAGACUGGAAUUCCCGGUGUAACGGUGGAAUGUGUAGAUAUCGGGAAGAACACCAAUGGCGAAGGCAGGUCUCUGGGCCGUUACUGACGCUGAGGAGCGAAAGCGUGGGGAGCGAACAGGAUUAGAUACCCUGGUAGUCCACGCCGUAAACGGUGGAUGCUGGAUGUGGGGCCCGUUCCACGGGUUCCGUGUCGGAGCUAACGCGUUAAGCAUCCCGCCUGGGGAGUACGGCCGCAAGGCUAAAACUCAAAGAAAUUGACGGGGGCCCGCACAAGCGGCGGAGCAUGCGGAUUAAUUCGAUGCAACGCGAAGAACCUUACCUGGGUUUGACAUGGACUGGGAGUGCUCAGAGAUGGGUAUGCCUCCUUGUGGGGCUGGUUCACAGGUGGUGCAUGGCUGUCGUCAGCUCGUGUCGUGAGAUGUUGGGUUAAGUCCCGCAACGAGCGCAACCCUCGCCCCGUGUUGCCAGCGGAUUAUGCCGGGAACUCACGGGGGACCGCCGGGGUUAACUCGGAGGAAGGUGGGGAUGACGUCAGAUCAUCAUGCCCCUUACGUCCAGGGCUUCACGCAUGCUACAAUGGCCGGUACAACGGGAUGCGACGCGGCGACGCGGAGCGGAUCCCUGAAAACCGGUCUCAGUUCGGAUCGCAGUCUGCAACUCGACUGCGUGAAGGCGGAGUCGCUAGUAAUCGCGAAUCAGCAACGUCGCGGUGAAUGCGUUCCCGGGCCUUGUACACACCGCCCGUCAAGUCAUGAAAGUGGGCAGCACCCGAAGCCGGUGGCCUAACCCCUUGUGGGAUGGAGCCGUCUAAGGUGAGGCUCGUGAUUGGGACUAAGUCGUAACAAGGUAGCCGUACCGGAAGGUGCGGCUG